CGAGCGGCGGAUGGGUGAGUAACACGUGGGGAACCUGCCCCUAAGUCUGGGAUACCAUUUGGAAACAGGUGCUAAUACCGGAUAAUAAAGCAGAUCGCAUGAUCAGCUUUUGAAAGGCGGCGUAAGCUGUCGCUAAGGGAUGGCCCCGCAGUGCAUUAGCUAGUUGGUAAGGUAACGGCUUACCAAGGCGACGAUGCAUAGCCGAGUUGAGAGACUGAUCGGCCACAUUGGGACUGAGACACGGCCCAAACUCCUACGGGAGGCAGCAGUAGGGAAUCUUCCACAAUGGACGCAAGUCUGAUGGAGCAACGCCGCGUGAGUGAAGAAGGUUUUCGGAUCGUAAAGCUCUGUUGUUGGUGAAGAAGGAUAGAGGUAGUAACUGGCCUUUAUUUGACGGUAAUCAACCAGAAAGUCACGGCUAACUACGUGCCAGCAGCCGCGGUAAUACGUAGGUGGCAAGCGUUGUCCGGAUUUAUUGGGCGUAAAGCGAGCGCAGGCGGAAAAAUAAGUCUAAUGUGAAAGCCCUCGGCUUAACCGAGGAACUGCAUCGGAAACUGUUUUUCUUGAGUGCAGAAGAGGAGAGUGGAACUCCAUGUGUAGCGGUGGAAUGCGUAGAUAUAUGGAAGAACACCAGUGGCGAAGGCGGCUCUCUGGUCUGCAACUGACGCUGAGGCUCGAAAGCAUGGGUAGCGAACAGGAUUAGAUACCCUGGUAGUCCAUGCCGUAAACGAUGAGUGCUAAGUGUUGGGAGGUUUCCGCCUCUCAGUGCUGCAGCUAACGCAUUAAGCACUCCGCCUGGGGGAGUACGACCGCAAGGUUGAAACUCAAAGGAAUUGACGGGGGCCCCGCACAAGCGGUGGAGCAUGUGGU
rnacentral:rRNA from 1 species